UAAUAAUAAAUGAAUGUAAAAUUUUCCUAAAGGAUUGUUUUUUUUUUUUGGUAAUUUUUGUUACGUAAAAAACCUUAUCGAAAUCGAUGAUACGAUAAUUUUACACACCGUCUUCGGAUAAUAAAAUCACAGCCUGCUAAUAUAAUACACUUAUUCAAAACUAUUUAAAUUUUUUUUUAAUUUUUCUUUUUUAAUAAAAUACCCUAAUUAAAUAUUUGUACGUUAUUUUUUGUAUUGAUUUUUUUUGCAUGCAUUUUUUUUUUUUUUUUUUUUUUUGUGGAAUUGGAAUACCCGUAAACGUUAUAAUAUAAUAUUGUAAUUCAAUUUUUAUCAGCGAAAAAAAAAUUGCGAUUAUUUCUUACAUACCUACUCGGUUAUAACUAUAGAAUAAUAAUAAUAAAAAAAACAAAAUUAAACGUUAAAUUAAAAUUGAUAAGACGCGUUUAAUCGAUAAUAAUAAUAAUUACAAUUGUCACAAAAAGUGUACAUAGGAAAACGACGUCGGAUAACAACCGUCAAGCGAUGACUAUUAUUAUUAUUAUAACCGAAUGGUAUUUUUAGUAGACCUAGUAGACAAUCCAUCGAACGUAAAAUACAAAAAAAAACCUCAAAAUAAGAUUUAUUUUACCUUUUUGAGUUCGUCAUUAAUUUGAGCAAAUAUUUUCCUGAAUACAUACCUAUAUAUGUAUUAUUGAAUAUUACCCAACAGUCAAAAUCCAAAACGGACCGCCUAAAAGGCUCCCCCAACUAUAGGUACAUACCUAUAAAAUAAUUAUCGCGUGAUAAAUAAAUAAAUAAAAAAUCGUUUUGCUUAUCGCGUGCUGCGUUUUUAUUGCCGCGUAAUAUCGAAAAUAAAAAAAACCCGUAAAAGUCCAUUGUCAAAAUAGACUUUUAGUAAA